UCUGACGACCAUAGCGGCCCGGAACCACCUGAUCCCAUCCCGAACUCAGAAGUGAAACAGGCCUGCGCCGAUGGUAGUUUGGCAUUGCCCAUGCGAGAGUAGGUCAUCGUCAGAC
rnacentral:rRNA from 1 species